rnacentral:tRNA from 1 species
GCCUGGGUGGCUCAGUCGGUUGAGCGUCCGACUUUGGCUCAGGUCAUGAUCUCACAGUUUGUGGGUUCGAGCCCUGCGUCGGGCU